rnacentral:rRNA from 1 species
GUCUAUGGCCAUACCACCCUGAACAUGCCCGAUCUCGUCAGAUCUCGGAAGCUAAGCAGGGUUGGGUCUGGUUAGUACUUGGAUUGGAGACUGCCUGGGAAAACCAGGUGCUGUAGAAA